CAGCUACAACGCUCUCCGUGUGUGCCGCAGCCGUCCCGGGCCUUGUGCUGAGACCGAGCUCAUCACUUGCACAAGUACAGGCUGUCCUGGUUAGCGCUGCCGAAGCUUCUGCGGUAACGAGCGUGGUUGGGAGAUGCAGCGCAGGAGCUGCUGUUGUGCUUGCAGGGAAAACUGGCUGCUCUCGGUGUGGGAAAGCAGGAGGAUUCGUUCUGUUCCCGCCUGAGCUGUGGUGGAUGAGGAGGUUCUGAGUGCCGCGCAGGACGGAGUUUUCAGCCAGUUGGUGCUGCCGAGUGUCCCGAGUGACCCCCGGUCCCGGGAACCCCCGUAGCUGAGCCCACAACUGACGGCCUGGUGGUGCUUUGUGCAGGUGGCAGCGCAGAGGCCGACAUGGAAACCCGGUUGUCCCCAGCACGUUCCUGUUGGAGCAGCGCGUGUCCUGUGCAGCUUCGUGUGGGACAAGGGAGGCGACUGUGUCCGUGUUGACUCCGCCCUGCCUUCCAGGAGAAACAGCUACAACGCUCUCCCUGUGUGCCGCAGCCGUCCCGGGCCUUGUGCUGAGACCGAGCUCAUCACUUGCACAAGUACAGGCUGUCCUGGUUAGCGCUGCCGAAGCUUCUGCGGUAACGAGCGUGGUUGGGAGAUGCAGCGCAGGAGCUGCUGUUGUGCUUGCAGGGAAAACUGGCUGCUCUCGGUGUGGGAAAGCAGGAGGAUUCGUUCUGUUCCCGCCUGAGCUGUGGUGGAUGAGGAGGUUCUGAGUGCCGCGCAGGACGGAGUUUUCAGCCAGUUGGUGCUGCCGAGUGUCCCGAGUGACCCCCGGUCCCGGGAACCCCCGUAGCUGAGCCCACAACUGACGGCCUGGUGGUGCUUUGUGCAGGUGGCAGCGCAGAGGCCGACAUGGAAACCCGGUUGUCCCCAGCACGUUCCUGUUGGAGCAGCGCGUGUCCUGUGCAGCUUCGUGUGGGACAAGGGAGGCGACUGUGUCCGUGUUGACUCCGCCCUGCCUUCCAGGAGAAACAGCUACAACGCUCUCCCUGUGUGCCGCAGCCGUCCCGGGCCUUGUGCUGAGACCGAGCUCAUCACUUGCACAAGUACAGGCUGUCCUGGUUAGCGCUGCCGAAGCUUCUGCGGUAACGAGCGUGGUUGGGAGAUGCAGCGCAGGAGCUGCUGUUGUGCUUGCAGGGAAAACUGGCUGCUCUCGGUGUGGGAAAGCAGGAGGAUUCGUUCUGUUCCCGCCUGAGCUGUGGUGGAUGAGGAGGUUCUGAGUGCCGCGCAGGACGGCAAUACAUGCUAGCAGCUGGUCUACAUUAUCUUGCAGCUCAUAGCGCCACUCUGCUUGAACAGUAAUCACUUCUUGUGUGAUCGCCUUUGCAUCCUGUAAAAUCUCAACCUCCUUUUCCAGUUCUCUUCUUUUACUCUGCAAUGCAACAACGUCACCAUCAAGAGCUCUAAGACCGGUAACAAACAACCAUCCCAACCUCCCUUGGAUUGCUUGGAUUUUCUGGAUUUCUGCAGGAGAAAAUCGACCCCAGCAUCAGUUGGACCCCAGAAGGACGUUGCUGGAAAAUGCGUGGCCAGGUUCCAGUGACGUGUUGGCUUGGGCGUGAAUGACUGGAAGUGCCUGUUGGGAGAGCAAAGCUGCCCGGUGUUAACAAACGCUGCUGCCGAGAUUUGGGGGUAAAAGUGCCACAAAUGUGAUUUCCCAGGGAAAACAGAGAAGUUUGUCAAUGCCUGGUUGUUAUAUGGCACAUUGUAAUUAAGCCCAGUGGUAAUUUUGCAUUGAUUUUACACAGGAUAACUGACUGUAACAGACUGGUUGCAUCAAAUAAAUGUUGACUUGCUGCA